CAGCAGCAGCCACGGGAAUACAGAGGGUGCAAGCGUUAAUCGGAAUUACUGGGCGUAAAGCGUGCGCAGGCGGUUAUAUAAGACAGAUGUGAAAUCCCCGGGCUCAACCUGGGAAUGGCAGUGGAUACUGGCAAGCUAGAGUGUGUCAGAGGAUGGUGGAAUUCCCGGUGUAGCGGUGAAAUGCGUAGAGAUCGGGAGGAACAUCAGUGGCGAAGGCGGCCAUCUGGGACAACACUGACGCUGAGGCACGAAAGCGUGGGGAGCAAACAGGAUUAGAUACCCCCGUAGUCCCUGUCUCUUAUAC
rnacentral:rRNA from 1 species